UGGCCCGUAGUGUAAUUGGUAACACAACAGAUUCUGGAUCUGUUUUUCUUGGUUCGAGUCCAAGAGGGCCAGCCA
rnacentral:tRNA from 1 species